ensembl:lncRNA
CUGGGCAAUUUAAAAAUAGGGUCAAAUGGAGCGUUUAUCCUGGUCUGCCAGCCAGGAGCAGGAGAAGAUUGCCUCCCAAAGGUCAGAUGACUAACAUGAUCGGGCCAACGGUCCAGGAGGGAUCAAACUCCGGACCUUCCUUGAAAGUUAUUUGGAUAGAUGAUAUUGGCACAUUGUUUAAAAUUCAAGAACUGAAGAGCACAGAGUGAAGAAUAAAUCUCCUUUUCUUAUCACCCAUCUCUGUCUCCUACUGUUGCUUGUUUCUUAUGUAUCCUUUUAAAAACAGCACAAUAGGUAUUGUGGAUUGUGUUUGUACAUGUUUGUGUAUUACGGGGAUGAGCGUAGUUAAUAUAUAUGUGUGUAUCUCUACAUGUAUAUCACUUUCUGCAUAUGUAUAUAUUUAUAACAUGAAUAUAUGUACAUAUUAUUUUAACCUUUUACAAAUGUGUGUGUUGAGGAACUUUUCAUUUAUUUAUUGAUUUAUUGAUGUAUUGACUUAUUGAUUGUGUCAGGGAUAGAACUCUGGGACUCAUACAUGUUAGGCAAGUGCUCUACACUGAGCUCCAAUCCCAGCCUUGCUUUAGUUUUUGUUGUAGUUGUUUUGUUUUUGAGACAGGUUCUCUAUGUAGCUCAGGCUGGCCUAGAACUAGAACCUCCUGCCUCAGCUUCCAGGGUGGGAUUAUAGGCACGUAUCAGUACACCCCCCAAUCUUGCACCAGUUUUUAAAAAUGGCUGCAUAGUGUUUAGUUUUAUAGAUAUAUGUCAAUUUAUUUACUGAGUGCUUUGUUGGUAUAUCAUUCUCUAAAUUCUUUUUUUUUUCCUGAACAAAGUGCAUGCAUGCUACUGAGCACACUGGGCCAAAGGACAUGUACAUCGAAAACAUUGACAGAGGGUGUGGAACUUCCUCAUAUCAAUAUGCACCCUCAUAAUGAGGAAAAGAAUGGGAGAAGAGGGAGUGGGAAGUAGAAGAGGAGGGUGGAGCAGCAGGACAGUGGAGCGUCAGAUGGCGAGAUGCCAGUGGAGUAGUCCCUGCCCUGACCAGGUCCAGGGUGUGGACCCAGCAGGAAGUUGCUGGUAUGGGGUGGAGGAGAGGUGAAGGUCAAUGAGCAGAGGAUGUCCAGGAACUGUGAGAAGAAUGAGUCACCAAGAUGAUGGGGCAGCCUGUCUUCCCUGGUGGGUUCAUCAUCAUCAUCAUCGUCACUCACGAAACACAGCCAUGGUAGCUGUCACUUCCCUUUCAAACUAGCAGGAGAAGGACAGGUGCCUCUUGGUCCUCUUUCUACUCUAUGGGCAGCAAACUUCACACUUGAGUUCACUCAAGAGGAAGCACAUUGAUCAACAUGGCCACCUCGGGGGACAGGCAAUGAUGUUUCCAUUUUUUAUGAUGGCAUCUGGGGCAGUGAGACAGGCAGGGCUGUUUUCCCAGCUCCUCCUGCUUCAAUGAAUACCAAUUAGGCCUGUGGAUAAUUUGUUUGACAUCUUCAGUCCCCAGAGUGUUUCUGACUGACAUCAUCAAAUCAACCCUGGCUUGAGGAGCCCCUUCCUAGAGUUAAUGUAGAGACUUGGUUAGGAAUUGUGUUCAACAGCAGGUAGCAGAGACUGGGAAAUCAAUGGUGAAAACCAGAGAUGGGUAUUUUUCUCUAAUGUAACAUAGAGUCCAGGGACAAGUAUGUUACAAAAGUCACAGUAACUUCAGAAAGUCAUUGGUGUCUCAAGCUCCUUUGUUCUUCUGCUCUGAUCUUAGCCGAAAGGCCGAGAAGCAUCUGCUCUGCUUCUCUAGAGCCAACUUUAUUUUCCAGCUUCUGGAAUGGCUGCUGGAGCUCUAGCCCUUGCGCCUAUUUUCCAUGCUGGAAGCCAGAGGUAGAGAUUAAGGCAAAAGGGAGCGUGCCUGAUGUCUUCCACCUCAUCUUCUAACAAGCUAUCCCAGAAGCUCCACUCAGUAUUGGAAUCUUGCGUCUCAUUGAAUGGUUUACCCUGAUGUCACCCCCUGUUUCUACAGGGAACCCGGGAAAUGGAUUUUUAGCUGGGUUUAUUGCUGCCCCCAACAAAUCAGGGUUUUGUUCACAAACAAAAAGAAACAAAUGGAUGUUGGCUAGGCAACUAGCAGCCUCUUGCAGAUGUCAUGGACAUUUUACACUUUAAAAAUUAUAUUUUAUUUUUUAUUGUGAUAAAAUACAUAAUUUUACCAUUUAACCAUUUUUCAGUGUACACUGGCAUUAAGUACAUUCCUAAUUUGUAAACUUCACCACUAUCUAUUUCCAGAGCUUCCAUAGCAAAUGGUAGCACUGCAUUCAUUAAAUAAUAACACCUCAUUCCCUUCUCCUCAGACACCAGUAACUUCUGUGUUAUUGUCCAUCAUCAUUUAGGUGGAAUCAUAUAAUAUUUGUCCUUCUGUGUCUGGCUAAUUUCAGUUAGCAUAGUGUUUUCAAGGUUUGUUCAUACUGAAGCAAGUACCAAACUUCAUUUUUUUUUUAUUGCUGAAUUACUUCCCAUUUGAUGGAUAUAAUAAAUUUUGAUUCUUCAUCCAUCUGUCUCUGAACAUUUGCAGUGUUUCCAGCUUUUGGCUGCGUGUGUAAGCUGCUAGGAAUACUGGUAUGAAAGAAUCUGCUUGGGUCCCUGUAUACACCUGGGUAAUGUGGUAAUUCUAUGUCUAACUUCUGAGUAUUUUCCAAACAGACUUUACAUUUUCUAUUCUAUUUAGUCUUCACAGACUUGGAGGUUGUCUCCUCUGGGUCCCAGUGACCUCCCCAGUUGGGGAUACUGCACGCUGCCCCCAGUAGGGGAUUCUAGUGUAGUAGGCACUGAUGUGUGCUUGAUGGAGCCAUGCCUGUUUUAGAAGUGAGAAACAAAUGUAGGAGGCUAAGUCAAUGGCCUGUCCUGUUAUUAUUCUCUUGGUAAUCAGAAUUCCCCCAUCUCAAUUCCUGGCCCUGCCCUUAGGGAGUUUCCCACGAAUUUGUGGGAAGCCUUAUGGGUCUAGAUUCCUCCAGAAGUAUGGACUUGUGAAGCCCUCACCAGGAGGUUCCAGGCAGGAACUAUGUCCAUCCCCUUGCUCACUCUUAAAUCAACCUGUCACCACCUUAGCAAGGAGAGAGCAGAUGAACUGAAUUUAUUCCACAUUGCAACGGCAGUUCAGAAUGAGCCAUAGCACAGUGGGGAAGGAAAUGGUUUCCCAAGCCAGGUCGCUUGACUUCAAAUCCCAACUUGCUAUGUUUUUGUAGUGUGAUCUUUAUUUAACUUCCCUAACCCUCAGCUUCGUCAGCUGAAGAUGGUGGAUUAAUAAUAAAGCUUUUACUUACUUCACAUGAUUGCUGAGUAUUGCCUGCAUUCACACAUCACUCCAGAAGCAUUCUGCACAUGUGUCAGUAGUCUCAACACACUUAUACCAAUGAUGUCAAUUCACACUGCAACAGUUAACAGCAAACAGAUUCUUAUUCUGGAAAUAAAAACUAAAACCUCAAAAAGAGCUGAAAUGGAGCUCGGUGAUAGAGCACUUGUCUAGUGUGUUCAAGGCCCUGGGUUCAAUCUCCAGGACUAAAAACAAAAACAAAUGAACAAAAAAGAACAAAACUAGGAGUACAAAAAUGAAAGAAGAAGCCGUAAGAGAUACAGCCAGAUAGAUUGAAAAGUCACUUGAUUUUAUCUUUGGCCUAACAGCACAGGCUGGAAAAGGCUAACCGGUUGGCCUGUUCUUCCUCACCUGCCAGCUGUGGUUCAUUCUACCAAGUUUAUGCCAUCAUUGUGAGGAUUUACUGAGGUAAAGAUCAGGUUUGAGAAACGAUUAUCACUAAAUAAACACAUCAAGACAAGUAGCAACCUGAAGUAGCCAAUCAGCUCUGGGCUGUAAAACUGAGGAAGAUCGUA